UCACAUGCUCCAAACUAUCAAAUUAUCUAGUGCGCCAAAUGUUGAUCAAUGCCAUAUUUCUUAAUUUCUUUAGUUGGCAUGAUGAUAAAAUACACAUAAAAUUGGUCCUUCAUGCAAGCUGCUAGAGAACCAGACAAAUAGAAGAAGAAAUGAUCCAAAGAAGAAUAAGAAAAGCUCUGUCGGAGCGUACCUACAAGUUCCAAAUGAUGUUUUAAGAUAAUCAAGUAAGAAAAUUUACCUCUU
rnacentral:lncRNA from 1 species